AUGCCGCGUGUGUGAAGAAGGCCUUCGGGUUGUAAAGCACUUUCAGUCAGGAGGAAAGGUUAGUAGUUAAUACCUGCUAGCUGUGACGUUACUGACAGAAGAAGCACCGGCUAACUCCGUGCCAGCAGCCGCGGUAAUACGGAGGGUGCGAGCGUUAAUCGGAAUUACUGGGCGUAAAGCGUACGCAGGCGGUUUGUUAAGCGAGAUGUGAAAGCCCCGGGCUCAACCUGGGAACUGCAUUUCGAACUGGCAAACUAAGUGUGAUAGAGGGUGGUAGAAUUUCAGGUGUAGCGGUGAAAUGCGUAAGAUCUGAAGGAAUACCGAUGGCGAAGGCAGCCACCUGGGUCAACACUGACGCUCAUGUACGAAAGCGUGGGGAGCAAACAGGAUUAGAUACCCUGGUAGUCCACGCCGUAAACGAUGUCUACUAGAAGCUCGGAACCUCGGUUCUGUUUUUCAAAGCUAACGCAUUAAGUAGACCGCCUGGGGAGUACGGCCGCAAGGUUAAAACUCAAAUGAAUUGACGGGGGCCCGCACAAGCGGUGGAGCAUGUGGUUUAAUUCGAUGCAACGCGAANGAACCUUACCUACACUUGACAUACAGAGAACUUACCAGAGAUGGUUUGGUGCCUUCGGGAACUCUGAUACAGGUGCUGC
rnacentral:rRNA from 1 species